AGAACUGACAUCAGAAUGUGAAGCAGUAGCUUAUCUCACUACUUGUCUCAUGGCCAGCAUGUGACCCUGGCUGCAAAGCUCUCACCAGGGAAGACUGGCAGGCAUCAAGAGGCUUAGCUUUCACAGGCUCCAGAGAUCUUGUUCUCCAGCCUUCACAUUUACAAGGAGCCCUGCUGCACCUGUGCCAUCCCACAAUAGGGAAACACACCUAGUGAGGAUAUGUUGUUUUGGAAGACUGCUAUGGAUAUCAGAUGUGCCACUCUGCCACCUGAGUCUCACAAGAACCCUGUGAGAGAUUGAUGCAGCAGUGAGUCUUCUCCUGAGAAUGCUGUUUACGUGGCAGCAGAGGCUUAUCCUAUUGCAAAUCUGGAAAAACAAGGUGAAUGGAUGUUAAGCCUAUGUUAGAAAUGGAUAUAUCUGACCAUUACUCUGUUAGCAGUUCCUAACAGGCCUGACAACACCCAACACAUUGCUGUCAUAGUAUUUAUCUGUAAAGAAUGUUAUAUGAGAUUUUAAAUGAGAGCUGGGAUCAUGCUGGUUGUCAUGAAAUGUAUGUAGAGAUGAAAUUUAAAAAAUGGUGUGUAUACUGAAAAUAUAUCUGGAACGUCUGUAUCAAGGUGUGAGUCACCAGCAGAGGCAGGUUUUCUCUCAGAUCAGCACUAUUUGUCCAUCUAACUAAUUGACAUGUAAAUUUAAGCAUUGUAUUGUUUCACAGUGGGCUCUCAUCACUGUUUGAACUGAAUGCUAAUGAAGAACAGAGACAUAUGAAAUCAACAGGAAAAACAAGCAAAGAGGGAGAAGAGUCUGAUCUGGGGUAUACACUUCAAAGGUUUACUGGACUUAUAGUAAAACUUU
rnacentral:lncRNA from 1 species